rnacentral:rRNA from 1 species
UGGUCCCGNNUCAGAAUGANNGCGCCGGCAGGNAUAACACAUGCAAGUCGANCGGAUUAAAGNAGCUUGUUNNCNNNCAGCGGCGGACGGGUGAGUAAUGCCUAGGAAUCUGCCUGGUAGUGGGGGACAACGUUUCGAAAGGAACGCUAAUACCGCAUACGUCCUACGGGAGAAAGCAGGGGACCUUCGGGCCUUGCGCUAUCAGAUGAGCCUAGGUCGGAUUAGCUAGUUGGUGAGGUAAUGGCUCACCAAGGCGACGAUCCGUAACUGGUCUGAGAGGAUGAUCAGUCACACUGGAACUGAGACACGGUNCAGACUCCUACGGGAGGCAGCAGUGGGGAAUAUUGGACAAUGGGCGAAAGCCUGAUGCAGCCAUGCCGCGUGUGUGAAGAAGGUCUUCGGAUUGUAAAGCACUUUAAGUUGGGAGGAAGGGCAGUAAAUUAAUACUNUGCAUUUUUGACGUUACCGACAGAAUAAGCACCGGCUAACUCUGUGCCAGCAGCCGCGGUAAUACAGAGGGUGCAAGCGUUAAUCGGAAUUACUGGGCGUAAAGCGCGCNUAGGNGGUUUGUUAAGUCGGAUGUGAAAUCCCCGGGCUCAACCUGGGAACUGCAUNCAAAACUGGCAAGCUAGAGUAUGGUAGAGGGUGGUGGAAUUUCCUGUGUAGCGGUGAAAUGCGUAGAUAUANGAAGGAACACCAGUGGCGAAGGCGACCACCUGNNUNGUA